UACAGGUAGACUAGACUACACUCACCCCUCAGGGCCAGCCUGCCCAGAUACAGGUAGACUAGACGACACUCACCCCUAAGGGCCAGCCUGCCCAGAUACAGGUAGACUAGACGACACUCACCCCUAAGGGCCAGCCUGCCCAGAUACAGGUAGACUAGACUACACUCACCCCUCAGGGCCAGCCUGCCCAGAUACAGGUAGACUAGACUACACUCACCCCUCAGGGCCAGCCUGCCCAGAUACAGGUAGACUAGACUACACUCACCCCUCAGGGCCAGCCUGCCCAGAUACAGGUAGACUAGACUCCACUCACCCCUCAGGGCCAGCCUGCCCAGAUACAGGUAGACUAGACGACACUCACCCCUAAGGGCCAGCCUGCCCAGAUACAGGUAGACUAGACUACACUCACCCCUCAGGGCCAGCCUGCCCAGAUACAGGUAGACUAGACUACACUCACCCCUCAGGGCCAGCCUGCCCAGAUACAGGUAGACUAGACUACACUCACCCCUCAGGGCCAGCCUGCCCAGAUACAGGUAGACUAGACUACACUCACCCCUCAGGGCCAGCCUGCCCAGAUACAGGUAGACUAGACUACACUCACCCCUCAGGGCCAGCCUGCCCAGAUACAGGUAGACUAGACUCCACUCACCCCUCAGGGCCAGCCUGCCCAGAUACAGGUAGACUAGACUACACUCACCCCUCAGGGCCAGCCUGCCCAGAUACAGGUAGACUAGACUACACUCACCCCUCAGGGCCAGCCUGCCCAGAUACAGGUAGACGAGACUACACUCACCCCUCAGGGCCAGCCUGCCCAGAUUCAGGUAGACUAGACUACACUCACCCCUCAGGGCCAGCCUGCCCAGAUACAGGUAGACUAGACUACACUCACCCCUCAGGGCCAGCCUGCCCAGAUACAGGUAGACUAGACUACACUCACCCCUCAGGGCCAGCCUGCCCAGAUACAGGUAGACUAGACUACACUCACCCCUCAGGGCCAGCCUGCCCAGAUACAGGUAGACUAGACUACACUCACCCCUCAGGGCCAGCCUGCCCAGAUACAGGUAGACUAGACUACACUCACCCCUCAGGGCCAGCCUGCCCAUCAGUUGUCAUGAUAAUCACUCAUUUCAACUUGAUCUAUUCAUCACUUUCUGAUGAGCUGAUCAUAGAGAAGGAGACCAUCAUUCUGCAUUUCCUGCUGAGUAAACAUCAUCAGGUAGAAGAGCCCCUGUAACAGUCUGUCCCUCCCCAGGGAGGUGGAACAGCCCCUGUAACAGUCUGUCCCUCCCCAGGGAGGUAGAACACCCCCUGUAACAGUCUGUCCCUCCCCAGGGAGGUGGAACAGCCCCUGUAACAGUCUGUCCCUCCCCAGGGAGGUGGAACAGCCCCUGUAACAGUCUGUCCCUUCCCAGGGAGGUAGAACACCCCCUGUAACAGUCUGUCCCUCCCCAGGGAGGUGGAACAGCCCCUGUAACAGUCUGUCCCUCCCCAGGGAGGUGGAACAGCCCCUGUAACAGUCUGUCCCUCCCCAGGGAGGUAGAACACCCCCUGUAACAGUCUGUCCCUCCCCAGGGAGGUAGAACAGCCCCUGUAACAGUCUGUCCCUCCCCAGGGAG